UUCUAAGUUCCUUUGGCCCAUCUUCCACCCAAAUUCAGCAUCCCCUUCCACAAUAUCUCUGCCAAGUAACCACCGAACUCUCUAUUUAAUUUGUCUUAGAGUGAAGAGGUCACUAGCUCAUAUGAUGAUUCAUUUUAUUGUUGCUCAGAGGCAAUGAAAUGCCUGGAGAGUCUGAAGACGCGAUGCAUAGAGUUGUAUCUUUGGAAGUGGAAUCAUAGGCUAUUGCCAUCUCUAUGUCCUUAUCGGUCAUAUAGUCAUAUACUAUGGCAUCAAGAAGAAUCCUCUAACCCAAGCUUCUCAUACAGAAGGAAUCAAGGGUCACCAUAGUUAAGAAGUGAGUUAACCAAGGUCACACAACAAAUUAGUGGUUGAACCAAGGCUAGAACUCAGGGGUCA
rnacentral:lncRNA from 1 species